rnacentral:rRNA from 1 species
UGCUGUCGAGCGAAUGGAUUAAGAGCUUGCUCUUAUGAAGUUAGCGGCGGACGGGUGAGUAACACGUGGGUAACCUGCCCAUAAGACUGGGAUAACUCCGGGAAACCGGGGCUAAUACCGGAUAACAUUUUGAACCGCAUGGUUCGAAAUUGAAAGGCGGCUUCGGCUGUCACUUAUGGAUGGACCCGCGUCGCAUUAGCUAGUUGGUGAGGUAACGGCUCACCAAGGCAACGAUGCGUAGCCGACCUGAGAGGGUGAUCGGCCACACUGGGACUGAGACACGGCCCAGACUCAUACGGGAGGCAGCAGUAGGGAAUCUUCCGCAAUGGACGAAAGUCUGACGGAGCAACGCCGCGUGAGUGAUGAAGGCUUUCGGGUCGUAAAACUCUGUUGUUAGGGAAGAACAAGUGCUAGUUGAAUAAGCUGGCACCUUGACGGUACCUAACCAGAAAGCCACGGCUAACUACGUGCCAGCAGCCGCGGUAAUACGUAGGUGGCAAGCGUUAUCCGGAAUUAUUGGGCGUAAAGCGCGCGCAGGUGGUUUCUUAAGUCUGAUGUGAAAGCCCACGGCUCAACCGUGGAGGGUCAUUGGAAACUGGGAGACUUGAGUGCAAGAAGAGGAAAGUGGAAUUCCAUGUGUAGCGGUGAAAUGCGUAGAGAUAUGGAGGAACACCAGUGGCGAAGGCGACUUUCUGGUCUGUAACUGACACUGAGGCGCGAAAGCGUGGGGAGCAAACAGGAUUAGAUACCCUGGUAGUCCACGCGUAAACGAUGAGUGCUAAGUGUUAGAGGGUUUCCGCCCUUUAGUGCUGAGUUAACGCAUUAAGCACUCCGCCUGGGGGAGUACGGCCGCAAGGCUGAAACUCAAAGGAAUUGGCGGGGGGCCCGCACAAGCGUGGAGCAUGGGGUUUAUUCGAGCACGCGAAAGAACCUUACAGGUCUGACAUCCUCUGACAACCCGAGAGAUGGGCUUUUCUCCUUCGGAGACAGAUGGGACGAUGGGUGCAUUGAUGGUCGCCACCUCUGUGU